rnacentral:rRNA from 1 species
CGGCGGACGGGUGAGUAACGCGUAGGAAUCUACCUGGUAGUGGGGGACAACAUGGGGAAACCCAUGCUAAUACCGCAUACGCCCUAAGGGGGAAAGCGGGGGACCUUCGGGCCUCGCGCUAUCAGAUGAGCCUGCGUAGGAUUAGCUUGUUGGUGAGGUAAAAGCUCACCAAGGCGACGAUCCUUAGCUGGUCUGAGAGGAUGAUCAGCCACACUGGGACUGAGACACGGCCCAG